rnacentral:rRNA from 1 species
GACGAACGCUGGCGGCGUGCUUAACACAUGCAAGUCGAACGGAAAGGCCCUGCUUUUGUGGGGUGCUCGAGUGGCGAACGGGUGAGUAACACGUGAGUAACCUGCCCUUGACUUUGGGAUAACUUCAGGAAACUGGGCUAAUACCGGAUAGGAGCUCCUGCUGCAUGGUGGGGGUUGGAAAGUUUCGGCGGUUGGGGAUGGACUCGCGGCUUAUCAGCUUGUUGGUGGGGUAGUGGCUUACCAAGGCUUUGACGGGUAGCCGGCCUGAGAGGGUGACCGGCCACAUUGGGACUGAGAUACGGCCCAGACUCCUACGGGAGGCAGCAGUGGGGAAUAUUGCACAAUGGGCGGAAGCCUGAUGCAACAACGCCGCGUGCGGGAUGACGGCCUUCGGGUUGUAAACCGCUUUCGCCUGUGACGAAGCGUGAGUGACGGUAAUGGGUAAAGAAGCACCGGCUAACUACGUG